GGCUUUCCUGAAGCUUAGACAGGCUUUAUCCCACUCUGCUGGCUAAAAGAAGUAGGAAUAACGCACUGGGUGAGACACCGUCUGGCUUAUUCUCAUCUAUUUUCUUUUCAUUCUUUUGGAAAGUGGACACAAAGCAUAGAGUUAAAAGAGCUUUUUUUUUUUUUUUUUUUUUUUUCUUCACUGUGGUGAUAAAAACCACAGUGCAGGGGCUGGGCGUGGUGGCUCACGCCUGUAAUCCCACCACUUUGGGAGGCCAAGGCAGGCGGAUCACCUGAGGUGGGGAGUUCGAGACCAGCCUGAUCAACAUGGAGAAAACCUGUCUCUCCUAAAAAUACAAAAUUAACCGAGCAUGUUGGCGCAUGCCUGUAAUCUCAGCUACUUGGAAGGCUGAGGCAGGAGAAUUGCUUCAAACUGGGCAGAGGUUGCAGUGAGCCAAGGUUGACCCACUGCACUCCAGCCUGGGCAACAAGAGCAAAACUCCAUCUCAAAAAAAAAAAAAAAGAAAGAAACAGUGCCGAAAAAUCACAAUGAUUUGAGUUCUUCAAAAACCUUUGAUUGGCUGCAUUGGCUCUGUUCUGCAUAUUACUAGACUUCUUACAUGAUCACAAGUAACCACUAAUUGGUUAAAACCAAAGAGAGAGAGAGAGAGAGUGUGUGUGUGUGUGUGUGUGUUUGGUUGGGGGGUGUUGUGUUAGCUUCCAGGUGAAUGCAUUAUCUGUUAAUCCUGUUUAUUGAUCUGUUUUUAUAAGUGCUCCAUGAUUCUCUGAAAACAGUAUACUAUGUAUCUAAUUUUUGGAUACAGGAUGGACAUACGUACUCAAACUGUGUUUUUCAAUUUGUACUGUAUUUGUUUCUCUCGACCUGACUUAGUGAUAGAGGUAUAUUAAAGUCUUCCACUAGCAUGGUAGAUUAACAAA
rnacentral:lncRNA from 1 species